rnacentral:misc_RNA from 1 species
AAGUUAUAGUCCCCUGGCCUUCUGGCUAGGGUCUUCUAUACCACCCUUUGUUUAUUACACCUUUGUUGCUUUGGCAGGCCUGCCCUCGGGCUGCUGGCUCCGGCCGGCGAGCGCCUGCCAGAGGACCUAAACUCUGAAUGUUAGUGUCGUCUGAGUACUAUACAAUAGUUA